AAAACGACUCUCGGCAACGGAUAUCUAGGCUCUCGCAUCGAUGAAGAACGUAGCAAAAUGCGAUACUUGGUGUGAAUUGCAGAAUCCCGUGAACCAUCGAGUUUUUGAACGCAAGUUGCGCCCGAAGCCAUUAGGCCAAGGGCACGUCUGCCUGGGCGUCUC
rnacentral:rRNA from 3 species